AGCUUGCCGCGUGGUUAUGGUUCUCCCGCCUCUCGGCGGGAGCUAAGAGGGAAUUCGGUAGAAGCCGAAGCUGCCCCGCAACUGUGAGCGGUCAGGGCAUGGUCCCGAAAAGUGGUUUCCGCUUUUCGGAAACGAUCAUGCCCAAUGGUGAAUAGCCACAUUGCCCACCACGUCACUGGCAUGGAGCCGGGAAGACGGGCGAUGAAGCAACGACCCGCGAGCCAGGAGACCUGCCUGACCAAGUGAGGUUCCG
rnacentral:ncRNA from 1 species